rnacentral:miRNA from 1 species
AUAAAUCCCAAGCAUCAUCCA